rnacentral:rRNA from 1 species
GUGGGGAAUAUUGGACAAUGGGCGAAAGCCUGAUCCAGCCAUGCCGCGUGUGUGAAGAAGGUCUUCGGAUUGUAAAGCACUUUAAGUUGGGAGGAAGGGCAGUAAGUUAAUACCUUGCUGUUUUGACGUUACCGACAGAAUAAGCACCGGCUAACUUCGUGCCAGCAGCCGCGGUAAUACGAAGGGUGCAAGCGUUAAUCGGAAUUACUGGGCGUAAAGCGCGCGUAGGUGGUUUUGUAAGCUGGAGGUGAAAUACCCGGGCUCAACCUGGGAACUGCCUCCAAAACUGCAUGACUAGAGUACGGUAGAGGGUAGUGGAAUUUCCUGUGUAGCGGUGAAAUGCGUAGAUAUAGGAAGGAACACCAGUGGCGAAGGCGACUACCUGGACUGAUACUGACACUGAGGUGCGAAAGCGUGGGGAGCAAACAGGAUUAGAUACCCGAGUAGUCC